rnacentral:rRNA from 1 species
UGAGUAACACGUGGGCAACCUGCCUGUAAGAUCGGAAUAACUCCGGGAAACCGGGGCUAAUGCCGGAUAACACUUUCUUUCGCAUGAAGGAAAGUUAAAAGAUGGCUUCUUGCUAUCACUUACAGAUGGGCCCGCGGCGCAUUAGCUAGUUGGUGAGGUGAUGGCUCACCAAGGCAACGAUGCGUAGCCGACCUGAGAGGGUGAUCGGCCACACUGGGACUGAGACACGGCCCAGACUCCUACGGGAGGCAGCAGUAGGGAAUCUUCCGCAAUGGACGAAAGUCUGACGGAGCAACGCCGCGUGAACGAUGAAGGUUUUCGGAUCGUAAAGUUCUGUUGUUAGGGAAGAACAAGUACCGUUCAAAUAGGGCGGUACCUUGACGGUACCUAACGAGAAAGCCCCGGCUA